UGGGCGCAAGCCUGAUCCAGCAAUGCCGCGUGUGUGAAGAAGGCCCGCGGGUCGUAAAGCACUUUCAGCAAGGAAGAAAAUCCCGGAGCGAAUACCUCCGGGCCUUGACGUUACUUGCAGAAGAAUCGCACCGGCUAACUCCGUGCCAGCAGCCGCGGUAAUACGGGGGGUGCAAGCGUUAAUCAGAAUUACUGGGCGUAAAGCGCGCGUAGGCGGCUUGGUAAGUCGGAUGUGAAAUCCCCAAGCUCAACUUGGGAACUGCAUUCGAUACUGCCAAACUAGAGUAUGGUAGAGGGAAGCGGAAUUCCCGGUGUAGCGGUGAAAUGCAUAGAUAUCGGGAGGAACACCAGUGGCGAAGGCGGCUUCCUGGAUCAAUACUGACGCUGAGGCGCGAGAGCGUGGGUAGCAAACAGGAUUAGAUACCCUGGUAGUCCACGCCCUAAACGAUGAAAACUAGCCGUUGGGGGAGCUUGAUCCUUUAGUGGCGCAGCUAACGCGAUAAGUUUUCCGCCUGGGGAGUACGGCCGCAAGGCUAAAACUCAAAGGAAUUGACGGGGA
rnacentral:rRNA from 1 species